rnacentral:rRNA from 1 species
UACGUAGGGGGCAAGCGUUGUCCGGAUUUAUUGGGCGUAAAGCGCGUGUAGGCGGCCAGAUAGGUCUGCUGUGAAAACUCGAGGCUCAACCUCGAGCUGUCGGCGGAAACCAUCUGGCUAGAGUCCGGAAGAGGAGAGUGGAAUUCCUGGUGUAGCGGUGAAAUGCGCAGAUAUCAGGAAGAACACCUAUGGCGAAGGCAGCUCUCUGGGACGGUACUGACACUGAGACGCGAAAGCGUCGGGAGCGAACAGC